rnacentral:rRNA from 1 species
GACGAACGCUGGCGGCGUGCUUAACACAUGCAAGUCGAACGGAAAGGCCCUGCUUGCAGGGUACUCGAGUGGCGUACGGGUGAGUAACACGUGGGUGAUCUGCCCUGCACUUCGGGAUAAGCCUGGGAAACUGGGUCUAAUACCGGAUAGGAGCCAUUUUUAGUGUGAUGGUUGGAAAGUUUUUUCGGUGUAGGAUGAGCUCGCGGCCUAUCAGCUUGUUGGUGGGGUAAUGGCCUACCAAGGCGGCGACGGGUAGCCGGCCUGAGAGGGUGGACGGCCACAUUGGGACUGAGAUACGGCCCAGACUCCGACGGGAGGCAGCAGGGGGGAAUAUUGCACAAUGGGCGCAAGCCUGAUGCAGCGACGCCGCGGGGGGGAUGACGGCCUUCGGGUUGUAAACUCCUUUCGCUAGGGACGAAGCUUUUUGUGACGGUACCUAGAGAAGAAGCACCGGCUAACUACGUG